rnacentral:SRP_RNA from 1 species
GCUGGGCAUGGUUACGCAUGCCUAUAGUCUUAGCUCCUUUGGAGGCUGAGGCAAGAGGAUUGCUUGAGCCCAGGAGUUCGGGGUUACAGUAAGCUAUAAUCACACCACUGUACUCCAGCCUGGAUGACAGAGUGAGACCCUGUCUCUU